CCUACGGGUGGCAGCAGUGGGGAAUAUUGCGCAAUGGGCGAAAGCCUGACGCAGCGACGCCGCGUGAGGGAUGAAGGUCUUCGGAUCGUAAACCUCUGUCAGCAGGGAAGAACGGUCACUGUGCUAAUCAGCCGUGAAUUGACGGUACCUGCAAAGGAAGCACCGGCUGACUCCGUGCCAGCAGCCGCGGUAAUACGGGGGGUGCGAGCGUUAAUCGGAAUUAGUGGGCGUAAAUCGGUCGUAGGCGGUAUGUCAAGUCAAGGGUGAACUCCCCGCGCUCAACGGGGGAACUGCCUUUGAAACUGGCGAACUGGAGUGGGUGAGAGGAGAGGGGAAUUCCAGGUGUAGGAGUGAAAUGCGUAGAUAUCUGGAGGAACAGCGGUGGCGAAGGCGACAAUCUGGCGCAUAACUGACGCUGAGGAGCGAAAGCGUGGGUAGCGAACAGGAUUAGAUACCCCGGUAGUC
rnacentral:rRNA from 1 species